rnacentral:rRNA from 1 species
GAGUAACACGUACAUAACUUGCCCUCAAGGCGGGGGAUAGCCUUGGAAACUGAGAGUAAUACCCCAUAGAAUUAUUGGACGGCAUCGUUUGAUAAUUAAAACUACGGUGUUUGGGGAUAGAUGUGCGUCUGAUUAGCUAGUUGGUGAGGUAACUGCUCACCAAGGCGACGAUCAGUAGGGGGCGUGAGAGCGUGGCCCCCCACACGGGUACUGAGACACGGACCCGACUCCUACGGGGAGGCAGCAGUAAGGAAUAUUGGUCAAUGGAGGGAACUCUGAACCAGCCAUGCCGCGUGAAGGAUGACGGCCCUCUGGGUUGUAAACUUCUUUUGGAUGGGGCGAAAAAACGGGAUUUAUCCUGGACUGACGGUACCAUCAGAAUAAGCACCGGCUAACUCCGUGCCAGCAGCCGCGGUAAUACGGAGGGUGCA